rnacentral:rRNA from 1 species
GAUGAACGCUAGCGGCAGGCUUAAUACAUGCAAGUCGUGGGGCAGCAUGAAUGUAGCAAUACAUUUGAUGGCGACCGGCAAACGGGUGCGGAACACGUACACAACCUUCCUAUAAGUGGGGAAUAGCCCAGAGAAAUUUGGAUUAAUACCCCGUAACAUAAUGAUGUGGCAUCACAUUAUUAUUAUAGCUACGGCGCUUAUUGAUGGGUGUGCGGCUGAUUAGAUAGUUGGCGGGUAACGGCCCACCAAGUCUACGAUCAGUAGCUGAUGUGAGAGCAUGAUCAGCCACACGGGCACUGAGACACGGGCCCGACUCCUACGGGAGGCAGCAGUAAGGAAUAUUGGUCAAUGGACGCAAGUCUGAACCAGCCAUGCCGCGUGAAGGAUUAAGGUCCUCUGGAUUGUAAACUUCUUUUAUCUGGGACGAAAAAAGGCGAUUCUUCGUCACUUGACGGUACCAGAUGAGUAAGCACCGGCUAACUACGUGCCAGCAGCCGCCGUAAGAC